rnacentral:rRNA from 2 species
GAGUUUGAUCGUGGCUCAGGAUGAACGCUAGCGGCAGGCUUAAUACAUGCAAGUCGUGGGGCAGCAUGACUGUAGCAAUACAGUUGAUGGCGACCGGCAAACGGGUGCGGAACACGUACACAACCUUCCUUUAAGUGGGGAAUAGCCCAGAGAAAUUUGGAUUAAUACCCCGUAACAUAAUGAAGUGGCAUCACUUUAUUAUUAUAGCUCCGGCGCUUAAAGAUGGGUGUGCGGCUGAUUAGAUAGUUGGCGGGGUAACGGCCCACCAAGUCGACGAUCAGUAACUGGUGUGAGAGCACGACCAGUCACACGGGCACUGAGACACGGGCCCGACUCCUACGGGAGGCAGCAGUAAGGAAUAUUGGUCAAUGGACGCAAGUCUGAACCAGCCAUGCCGCGUGGAGGAUGAAGGUCCUCUGGAUUGUAAACUUCUUUUAUUGGGAAGAAAUCUAUCUUUUCUUGGAUAGUUGACGGUACCAGAUGAAUAAGCACCGGCUAACUCCGUGCCAG